GGAUUAGAUACCCUGGUAGUCCACGCUGUAAACGAUGAUCACUAGAUGUUCGGCUGCAAAGCUGAGUGUCCAAGCGAAAGCGAUAAGUGAUCCACCUGGGGAGUACGUUCGCAAGAAUGAAACUCAAAGGAAUUGACGGGGGCCCGCACAAGCGGUGGAGCAUGUGGUUUAAUUCGAUGAUACGCGAGGAACCUUACCUGGGCUACAAUGCCUCUGACAGACGCCGAAAGGUGUUUUUCCUUCGGGACAGAGUGCAAGGUGCUGCAUGGUUGUCGUCAGCUCGUGUCG
rnacentral:rRNA from 1 species